CAGUAGCCACGGUAAUACGUAGGGUGCAAGCGUUAAUCGGAAUUACUGGGCGUAAAGCGUGCGCAGGCGGUUAUAUAAGACAGAUGUGAAAUCCCCGGGCUCAACCUGGGAACUGCAUUUGUGACUGUAUAGCUAGAGUACGGCAGAGGGGGAUGGAAUUCCGCGUGUAGCAGUGAAAUGCGUAGAUAUGCGGAGGAACACCGAUGGCGAAGGCAAUCCCCUGGGCCUGUACUGACGCUCAUGCACGAAAGCGUGGGGAGCAAACAGGAUUAGAUACCCGCGUAGUCCCUGUCUCAUACAC
rnacentral:rRNA from 1 species